UACGUAGGGAGCAAGCGUUAUCCGGAUUUACUGGGCGUAAAGGGUGCGUAGGUGGUUUCUUAAGUCAGAUGUGAAAGCCCACGGCUUAACCGUGGAGGGUCAUUGGAAACUGGUCGACUUGAGUGCAGAAGAGGGAAGUGGAAUUCCAUGUGUAGCGGUGAAAUGCGUAGAGAUAUGGAGGAACACCAGUGGCGAAGGCGGCUUCCUGGUCUGUAACUGACACUGAGGCGCGAAAGCGUGGGGAGCAAACAGGAUUAGAUACCCUGGUAGU
rnacentral:rRNA from 1 species